rnacentral:lncRNA from 1 species
GGGAACCUAUUGUCCCGGAGAGUACCCAAGUCCUCCCCCAGAAUAUGAAACCUGCUUGGGAGACUUGUAUAGUGUCGCUUGGAUGGAGGACAGGUUGGUAUUCAAGCAUGAUCAUCAUAUAAGUCUUUUUCAUUUAUAUUUGGGAAUAUUGGUUCUGCGAUUAUUUUGAAAUUGAAGCUGAUUGUCUAGACCUGUUUUAACGAGAUUUUGGGAAGUUGUAUAUAAGUUAAAUUCAGUUUAUUUCCUGGCUGCACCUUGUUGAAUUUUGGAGUUAGUAGACAAAUUACAAAAUCAGAGGCAAAAUGGGUGUUAUACAUGUAAAAUUCAUUCUUUUAGUAUGAUCUAGACUAAAAUAGGAUAGGAGAUCUUUUAAAACUGAGGAAUCAGUUUUCCCUUUAAAAAAAAAAAGAAUUACAUACGUUGGUGUGAAUCCUAACAUUCUGUUUCUGUUGAGCAGUGACAUGCAUAAUCUGCGGACAGAGACUUUGCACCAGCAAUAUGAACUUGUAAGGCUUUUAAGAGAGUGUAUUUGCGUGAACUCUUUCAUUUAUUUUAUCAAGGGAAAGACGAAAAUUUCAAUAUCAUUUUGUAUUAUAGUUAUUGAUUACUAUUUAGAUCUAAGAAAUAUAAAAAAUAUAACCAGAAAUGGGAGGUCUGAGUUAUUUUGCCGUCAAAUUUGAGCUCCAAUGACUCAUUUUGCUGGCUUUUGCAGGUGAAAAAGAGGACUAUCAAUGGUAAUUCUGCGUAUGGCUCUCAUGUCAUGCAAUAUGGUGAUGUAGGGCUUAGCAAGGACAGUCUCUUUGCAUACUUGGGUACAAACCCUGCAAAUGAUAACUUCACCUUUGUUGACGAGAACUCCUUGUUGCCACCUACAAAAGCUGUUAACCAGCGUGAUGCUGAUCUUGUCCAUUUUUGGUAUAAGGUUUGUGUCUUAUGUCCUUUGACUUGUAUAUUAAACACAAGAAUUGCUUCUUCCCUAACUUAGAAUCUGUAAUUCGGAGUUGAUGCAACUAAGUGAAGAAUAUGACAACUUAGAUCAGUAAUACAUGGGUAUUACCAAAGGCGAAGUCAGAAUUUUCAUGUUAGGGGGUUGAUAUAAAAUAAUAAAUUUUGGGGGCACAAAGUUAAAAAAAUUGUGUUAAAAGGGCUUAAAUUGAAUCAUUAGUAUUGAUUAAGGGCCAAAAUAUAACUUUUCCAUUUUAACAAAGGUGGGAUCAAGGCCCUGCGUGCUCCCUUUGGAUCCACCCCUGGUUAUUAUAAACCUUAUGGUGUUAAUAACUGCAAGAUGGAUGCUACUCUAUAAAGCAUAUAAGCGGCUAAUGUGUUUUUAAUGGAGCAUAACUAGGCCUGAUGCUGUGGCAGAAUUUGAAAGGAACCCAUACUGUGAAAUUUUGCAUCUCUUUCUUUAAAAUGCUUUCAUUCAGAAUGAAUGUAAAACAUGAACAGUUGUUUCGUGUAUUUGAAAGCAGCCUCUAUGCUAGUUUUAGAUCCCAUCUAACUCGGAGAUUCCCCUGACCUACUUUGCAGUAUCGCAAGGCACCCGAAGGCUCUGUUAGGAAGACUGAAGCCCAAAAGCAGUUUGUUGAAGCCAUGUCUCAUAGAAUGCAUAUAGACCACAGUGUGAAACUCAUUGGCAAACUUUUAUUUGGAAUUGAAAGAGGCUUGGAAGUCCUGAACACCGUUCGACCAGCUGGCCAACCUCUUGUCGAUGACUGGAAAUGCCUCAAGAAAAUGGUAAACAUUCUUCACCCUCACCCUCAACCUCUUUCCUUUCUUUUGUCUUACUCCUUUCUUUUGUCUUCAAAACAGGUGAGGACUUUCGAAACACAUUGUGGAUCACUAGCCCAGUACGGGAUGAAACACAUGCGAUCCCUUGCAAACAUCUGCAAUGCCGGGAUUCAGACAGAACAGAUGGCUGAGGCAUCGGCACAAGCUUGUGUCAGCGUUCCUACUGGUCGUUGGAGCUCUCUUCAGAAAGGUUUUAGUGCAUAAAAAUACCACUGGAAUUGG